ACGGUGAGUAAUGUCUGGGAANCUGCCUGAUGGAGGGGGAUAACUACUGGAAACGGUAGCUAAUACCGCAUAACGUCGCAAGACCAAAGUGGGGGACCUUCGGGCCUCAUGCCAUCAGAUGUGCCCAGAUGGGAUUAGCUAGUAGGUGGGGUAACGGCUCACCUAGGCGACGAUCCCUAGCUGGUCUGAGAGGAUGACCAGCCACACUGGAACUGAGACACGGUCCAGACUCCUACGGGAGGCAGCAGUGGGGAAUAUUGCACAAUGGGCGCAAGCCUGAUGCAGCCAUGCCGCGUGUGUGAAGAAGGCCUUCGGGUUGUAAAGCACUUUCAGCGGGGAGGAAGGCGGUGAGGUUAAUAACCUCAUCGAUUGACGUUACCCUGCAGAA
rnacentral:rRNA from 1 species